rnacentral:rRNA from 1 species
UACGAAGGGGGCGAGCGUUGUUCGGAAUCACUGGGCAUAAAGCGCACGUAGGUGGUGUCGUAAGUCGGGUGUGAAAUCCCUCGGCCUAACCGAGGAACUGCGCCCGAUACUGCGAUGCUUGAGGAUCAGAGGGGUGCAUGGAAUUUCCGGUGGAGCGGUGAAAUGCGUUGAUAUCGGAAGGAACUCCGGCGGCGAAAGCGAUGCACUGGCUGAUUUCUGACACUGAGGCGCGAAAGCGUGGGGGAGCAAACAGG